UCCACGCCCUAAACGAUGCUGACUAGUUGUUCGGAAUUUACAUUCUGAGUAACGUAGCUAACGCGUGAAGUCAGCCGCCUGGGGAGUACGGUCGCAAGAUUAAAACUCAAAGGAAUUGACGGGGACCCGCACAAGCGGUGGAUGAUGUGGAUUAAUUCGAUGCAACGCGAAAAACCUUACCUACCCUUGACAUGUCACUAACGAAGUAGAGAUACAUUAGGUGCCCGUAAGGGAAAGUGAACACAGGUGCUGCAUGGCUGUCGUCAGCUCGUGUCGUGAGAUGUUGGGUUAAGUCCC
rnacentral:rRNA from 1 species